UAUAAAAAAGAAGAUGUGGUAUGAUUGCCAAUGAGACAACUAUCCACAAAAGAUCAAAAUGACACAGACAUUAACAACUAUAGGUCACCGUACGGCCUUCAACAAUGAGCAAAGCCCAUACCGCAUAGUCAGCUAUAAUAGGCCCCGAUAAGACAAUGUAAAACAAUUCAAACGAGAAAACUAACGGCCUUAUUUAUGUAAAAAAAAAGGAACGAAAAACAAAUAUGUAACACAUAAACAAACGACAACCACUGAAU
rnacentral:lncRNA from 1 species